AGGGUCUUGCUGUGUCAUCCAGGCUGGAGUGCAGUGAUAUGAGCAUGGCUCACUGCAGCCUCGACCUCCCAGCUUCAAGCAAUGCUCCCACCUUGGCCUCCCAAAGUGCUGGGAUUACAGGCAUGAGCCACCAUGCCUGGCCAUUGCCAUUGCACUUCAGCUGGUUCUCCUGAACCUUGAAUUAUCUUAGGAAAGAUUGUAUUUUCAGGAAUUAAGUCUAUUGGAGACACAGCAGGACUCCACAGCCAGCUAGAUUUGGAUAAAAUGUAGACCGCCUCAAGGCCAGUGUGUUGACUUCUGACCAGUCUCAUCUGAACCCACACCCUUUAACAUAUAUACAAAACACCCUGAAGGGUUGGGCUGCCAGCUUUCUUUAGGAUGAUAGAGGGCAGGUUAAGUUUGUUUGACAUAACUAGAAGAGGUGGAGACUCUUCCUAAUGGAGCAAGGUCCAUUUAUGGCGAAUUGUGGUCCCCCACCACUAUCAGCUACUUCUGGAUAGCUUUUGCUUAAAGUUGAUGAGAUAUUGUUUCUUUCACUAGAAGAAAAUGAAUGAGUUGGUGAUCCCAAACUUUGGUCUCCAAAGGAAGCCUGGGCAGGUGACAAAGGUGUCCUAAGCGAGACUGCUGCUUCCAUGCUCAUGCUGGAGGUACAUUUGCCCUGAAAGAUGGAGCAAAAGUGCUGAAGCUUAGCACAGAGGAUUAAUGAAUAAGAACAAGGCUAUGUUAUAUCAUAUUUGUAUAGCAAUCUGGAAAAGAAAGAACGGGGCUUGUUAAGGCAAAUGGGCAAGACAAAACGGGAUAUCUAUAGGCAGCAAGGGGUCCUGCCAGUCUAAGACUAAUGGAAAACUGGCCCAUAGCCAGGUAUUUUCUCAAUGGUGUUCACUACACCAAGUCAGAGGGCUACUUUGUCUAGAUAGAGCCCAGGUAUUGUGAGUGAGUGCAGGAAUAGAAGUGUCUCCUUAAAGGUGUAUGUAUGGUGUUCUCCUGGGAGACUGUAACAGAUGUGCCCUGGGCAAGACCACGCCAGCAGCUGUGAAUGAUGCUGAGCAUACAAAUACCCUGGAGCCCAGGAAUGGGGCUGCCUCCGCCCAGUGUAUCACCUGUGCUCCAGACUGUGUACCCCAGGUCCUCUGCCAGUAGCAUCUCCAAUCACAGGUGAAAUGCCAGCCCUUCAAACAGCACAGGUGGGCCCUAGGUGUCUGAUGGAAGGAAUGAACAGAUAUAUCACGUGGCAUGCAUUUCUUCUCAGUGGUGCAGGUAUCUCCAGCAGGUUUGCUCUGGCCAGGUGGGCCCCAGUACUUAGACCAUAUGCAGGAAGAGAAGACUCUCUAAAAAUAGGUAUGAUGUUGGCCCCUUCCAUUGCAACACAUGUGCCUUGGACAGGUGGGAUUCAGGUGUUCUGGCUAUAGGUAGGAACAUAAAGGCAUCCGAGCAUAGAUGCAGUGCUGGUCCCUUAGACUGCAACAGGUGUACUUUAGUUAGGUGUGCCCCAGGUGGCUUGACUGGGACAGGAAGAGAAGGAUCUCAGCACAGGUAUGGUGCUGGUCCCUUCCACUGGAACACAAGUGCUCUGGCCAAACAGGUCCCAGGUGAUCUGAACAAAAGGGGGAACAGCCGUGUCUUCUGAAACACUCCUUCUCAGUGAUCACAAAUCUUCCAGUAGUAGUAGGCGUGUUUUGGCUGGGCUGGCACCAGGUGCUCUAACUACUGGUGGGAAGGAAAGUGUUUCCCAGGGCAGAUUUGAUUUGCUCUCAGCAGUGCCGGCUUCUCCAAUUGCAGCAGGGGUGCAUCAGGGCUGACAGGACCCUGGUGCUCAGGUCUAAGCCUCCCCCAUCAUGAGCUGUGGUACUGGCUGUCCCCCAGCCAUUUUGCUCCAAAGCUAAGCGAUCUAGAUGUGGUGGUAGACUCUGCGUGGUAGACCCAAUGACCCCAAAGCUUUUGCUAUCCAUAAGGGCUUCAGAUCCCACAAAUACAAAUUGGCUUGGAUUGGCAUCAGCAAGAAAUGAGCAACAGUCCUCAGUGUUGUGCUUUCUGGUAGCAUUUCAUGGCAAGAGUAAGAGUGGCCACACCAAUGGGUAAAACACCCGAGGCACCACCAUGGGCUGGCUGAAUGCUGACAUUGAUGCCAAAGUGGACACGGGAGUGUUUAGUUCCCAAAAGCCAACUGAGUUGUGCUGCCAUUGGGUUCUAGGGCUGCAGUAGAGGUUAAGUGUGAAGGGUUUUCAGGGGCUGGCAGGUUUCUCAAAGGGAAACAGCUGUUAACAUUGCAGGGAGAGACAGGAUGAUAACAGAUGGGGAGAUGGGCAUGGUACCCAUGUUGAUUUCCUUAGAGGCAAAGUCAGGCGGAGACACCAAGUCUGAAGACGGGUUGUAUACUGGAGUGGAGGUGACUGCAGAAUCAGUGGUAGGUGGGCCAGAAAAGACAGGGCAUUGGGGGGAGUGGUUCUCUGGCAAGGCCCUGAAACAGGACCCCCAGAUUUCAGCUGGUAAGUGUUUCCUGAAUCAAAAGCAAGCUUAGAAGUUCAAGUAGGGCUGCUGACCAUAAAAGCAGGUGGGCUGGUGGGGAUGAUGGCCUUUGCAGGGGAUAUCUGCUCCACACUGGGAUGGGCCUGGUCCAAUGGGAGGAAGCUCACCCCGGAUCUUGAGGGAGACCUGAAGAAGAAAGCUUGGAAGGAAGAGUACUAUCCACAUCAAUUAUAACACAGUCCAGGCAGGCUGGGAAGUCCAGUCUGCAGACAGGCUGCCUGGCAUGCUAGAAGUGACUGCAGAAGCAGUGAUGGGUUGGCUGGUAAAGACAGGGGUACUGGUGCAAGCAACUUGAGGAGGGGUCUGUAAGAAAAGGGGAGGAGAAUCCACCUGCACAGGUGUAUAUGACUCCAUUCUGCAGAAGGUAAGCUGUAAGGAGAGGGAGAAAGUUCUAGGACGUGUGGGUUAGGCAGAAGUAGAGGAUCCCGCAAGUAUGACUGAGGGACUGGAAUGCAGAGGGCCCCUGUUCUCAUUAUUAAGUGGAAUAGCAAAUAUAGGUUGGAAUCCAAAGUGAGAAAUAGCAGGAAGAGCAAAAGGAGAGUCAGGAACUGUGCAUCUCAUUUCAUGAUCAGUAUCUGAUGUGUGUGUAGGUACAGGGGCAGAGAGUAUGAGUGGCCUAACAGGCCAGCCAAGUCAGUGACUGCUAAUUUGGUAGUUUCUGGAAUCUGCAAGGAAAAGGUGACCAAUGGCAAAGGAUCUGUGGCCUCCACAGCAGGUAGGGAGAACAGGCAGGCUGAGCUGCUAUGCUGUCUGAAGGGGCCUGAGAAUUAUUCUCCCACCCUGAGGUUCCCUUCGUGUUCAGGGUUCUCCAAGCUAAGGUCUUCUGCUGUAACUAUGCAGGGAAGGUAGGAGAUGGGGGCAGCUCUCCUCACUCUCACAACAGUGGCAAUGGGGGCAGCAAUGGCAGCAGCAGGGGCAUUGACAAUUUCUGUUUACAGAGCCUACAACUGGCAGAUGUGAGUGGAGAAUUUCUCAUUGACAGAGUAUCUGAAAGCUUUCCUCUGUGAGUUGUUGUCUUUGACUUCAAUGUGGCUGGAGAGCUGAGUUGAUAAUGGCCUUCAUCAAGCUCUUCCUUUCUCUGGCAGCAGGAAGGAGAAUGUGGCUGGCCAUACAGCGCUGCUGCACCUCCUUCACUGCCAUGAAGAGGCAGGAAGCCUCUAGCAGGCAGGACUAUCUGGGCUGGUGAUGGCAUGAUCUUUUGUGAAUGAACUCAUAGAAGACAUCUGUAAAAUCUAACCUCAGCUGUCUUCUGAGUGAUUGGAAUAGAGGCUUAUCUUCAGGGGUUCAGGACUGCUCCCAAAUAUGUGAUGCUUCUGCUGGUUGCUAGGGACCUAGAUGCUGAUGGUACUCUCCCACUGCUAUAGGGGCCCCUUUUCUCUAACUGUGUCUUCUCCCACACUGAGGAUCUUCCUCCUUCAGUAUCCAUUUCCUUCAUGCCCCUGGUAUCUUCUUCUUGGUCUCCUUUAAGCAAGGAUCUGGGGGGAGGUGUGAGUGGCUGUCCCAGGUCUUAGAGGUGACGAGGGAGGAGAGUCCAUUUGUGCCUUGGAGGAGGGAUCUUUGUCAUUCUGGAGUGGCCACUUUGUGGUACAAGCAGACAGCAAUGUCAUUUUCAGAGAGUCCCCUUAGGAUCGCCAGAGAGGAACACUGAGGUUUCCUGAUGGGAUACUGUCCUUUAGGGGUAUAUGACACCAGGAUCCUGGUAGAACUACCAGGGAAAAAGCCAAAGUGGAGUGAUCCCAGCCAGAAGGGGGAGCACGCUGGGUCAGGUUGAACGAGUGCAUGAUAGCAUGGCCAGGCAUGCGAGCAGGAUGGGGGCAAACCUUGCUAAGCAAGUUGCCUGUGAAGGGCAGUUUGUGCGCUGCCGGGUCCUUGGAGGAUAUGACAUUUGGAGAGGUCUCCUCACUACCUGCUACCUCCAUGGCAAACCAGGUACUGUUCAGCUUGAUGCAUGUGACACAUGGGACAUGCGAGAGAGAAAAAGUGCCCCAGCUAAGGGCAUAUUGCCAGCAAAAUGCAUGAGGAAAAGCACCGAAGGGCAAGAGGUCCAGAGGCUGAACCUCAGCAGGACUCUCUAGUACUUCUUGGCAUUCCUAUCCUGGGUUGCAGGUGUUUGGCACCAGACAGUCUCGGUGGCAAGGUGGGACUCUCCAAGACUGAACUCCAGGAGCCUACAUAACUGUCACUUCCAUGUCUGCAGGCACCUCAGUGCCACAGGGCGAAUUUACCUCAGCCUGUUCCUUUCAGACAACUGCUGUAGAUGACACCAGUUCACCCUCACCACCUAUCCCCACUCCUCCAGGCUCGUAGGUCAAGGCUCCAACACCAGCUCCUCCAGGGGCCUCCCUAGCUCUUCUUCAGUUCCAGGAGCUGGGUGCACCUUUUCUGUGGCCACCCGGGACAGGCGAGUAUCCCAAGCAUCUCCAGGGGGCUGCUAGGCUUUCUGAGGUGGCAACAAGGAUACCACAACACAUUCUUUCCUGGCAGGCAGUUUAUCUUCACUUAUUUUUACAAAUUUAGUAAGACAGCAUUUAAGCCAUAAAACCUUCCUUGUGUCACAUGUGUACUAGUGGCCCACAUUCCACACUGGGUGGAAUUUGAACCCUGAUUGUCUGAUUCCAGAGCUCAUACAUUUAACCACCAGACUAUGGUGGCUUCCCAUCAUGUAGACAUCACAUAUUACCAGUUUUGACAGUCUGUAGGGUACUUAGUACAAUUACACCUCCAUAAUGAACACAGGCACUGCCUAUGGCUUUUCUCCUUUAUUCUCUUAAUAUGGUGGAUUACAUUUAUUUUUUAAAUGUUAAACCAACCUUGCAUUCUGGGAAAAACCCCAACCAAAAGUGGUCAUGUUAGAUCAUACAUAUUUAUAAUUGUUAUAUCUUCUUGAUAAGCUGACCCUUUUAUCAGUAUAUAAUGUCUCUCCUUUUAAUAGUAUUUUUUUUUUUCUUGAGACAGAGUCUCACUCUGUCACCAGGCCGGAGUACAACGGCGUGAUCUCGGUUCACUGCAACCUCUGACUCCCUGGUUCAAGUGAUUCUCCUGCCUCAGCCUCCCGAGUAGCUGGGAUUACAGGCACAUACCACCACGCCCAGCUAAUUUUUGUAUUUUUGGUGGAAACAGGGUUUCACCGUGUUGGCCAAGAUGGUCUCGAACUCCUGACCUCAUGAUCCACUCGCCUCGGCCUCCCAAAGUGCUAGGAUUACAGGCAUGAGCCACCACGCCUGGCCCUUUUAAUAGUUUUUAACUUUAAGUCCAAUAUUAGUGUAGCCACUUUAGCUCUUGUUUGGUCAUUAUUUUUAUUGGAUAAUAUUUCCCAUCCUUUCACUUUCAACCUAUAUGUGUCUUUGGAUCUAAACAAGUCUUGUUUAGACAGCAUAUCAUUGGGUCUUGGUUUUCAUAUAUUAUGCCAAUAUCCACAUGUUUAUUGGAGAGUUUAAUUCAUUUACAUUUUAAGUAAUUACUGAUAAGGUAGAACUUCAACCAUUUUAUUUGUUUUCUGUAUAUCUUAUGCCUUUUUUAUUCUUUUCCUCCAUUACUGCCUUUUUUGUGUUUAACUGAUAUUUCAUAAUAAAUGUUUUUGAUUCCCUCUUUAUGACCUUAUGUAUAUUUUUA
rnacentral:lncRNA from 1 species